GAGGAGGGAGUCCCUCCCUCUAAAAGCUCUCUGUGUGGGGAACAUGACAGCCAGACCAAAGCUCAGAGGACAGAGAAGCAGCACAGACCAGACUCUGAUGAACUCAGCCUACCUGAACCUAAGAAGUUAAGUGAUGAACAUAAAUCUGCUGAUCAGAGGAUCCAUCAGCAGAGACCAGAUUCUCCUGAACCCAGCUGUGUGUCCAUGAAGAGUGAC